GCAGUCCAUGGUUGCCAGAAGCGGGGGAGCAAAGGCUCCGAGGGGGAGCAAAAGCUCCGAGGGGGAGCAAAGGCUCCGACAAACAAGGAAGACAGGCUUGUCUAUUCAUAGGGGAUGAUGAUCUCCUCCAGGAGACCUCCAAACAGCUGCACGCUAGGCACCAUUUGUUAACAACGGGGGCUGAGGGUACCUGGAAGAGAAUGGGGGGACAAGAGACUUGAAGAAGGAUGCCAAGACAAGAGUCUGAUCAAGGCUUUCGCCCGAUUCUCGGUACAGUGUCGGUGCUGGCGCCGACAAAUGGAGGUCCCACCGAGAUCGGAGAAGAAAGGGGUACCACCUACAGGACGUCCUUGGAGCCCGGCCGGCAUAGGAGAAGGGACGGAUUGGGGUAAGAUGGGCCAGAAAAGGCCUGGAUGAUUUGGGCUAGCCUCAGUAAAUCUUGUCAUAAAAAAGGGACAAGGUAACGGUAAAGUGUUUUUGCAUAUGCGUUCUGUUAGAGUUAUAUUUUAGUCUUUGGACCCUGACUAGAGAUAGUUUACACCCUAGACAUGAGAGAGAAUGGGUUUGGGAAAAACAGUCCUCCCGGACUCUCUGAGGUUGCUUUGGAGAAAGAGAAAAACCUUUUCAGAGCUCUCCUAGGAACAGAGGGAAAGCAGGAGACAUCCUGCCUCUCUGCUGGCUCCUAUUGGAGAAAUGCUUAUUUCUGGUUCUGGGUUCCAUAGGUAGGAUAUGUGAGUCCCUUCGGUGGGACACCAUCUAGUUUUUUCCCUUUAUGUCUAUUGUCUGUCCUUGGUGCACCAAGCUGUCCAUGUCUGUCAGUUUAUAUCUGUGGUUUUUGUUUCUCUUGUUUAAAUGUUUUAUGUUUCAUGUUCAAAAGAAAAAAAUGGUAAAAACUUUAUCUGUCAAUCGUUCACAUCUUGAUUUGGUUUUAACUCGUUUCAAAAAGGAAAAAAUGAAUAAAAAGCAGUUUCAAUCGGCCUUUAGAGCCCUGCACCUGUAGCUAGGAGCAUAGGUCCGCUGGAGAAGCUGCCCGGGGUGAGCAUCUACAUGAGCUGAUCUUAAAGGCGCCAGCAGCUCCUCAGCUUCUAUGUUAAGGGAGCAGAUGGUUGUUUCUCUUAGAAAAACCCCUGACUUAUUCUUAGCAGGUGACAAGGUGCAUCUCUUAAUAUUACAGCUAGAAAAAGUAAAAAUGGUGCUUGGUCUAAAUAUUGAAGAUAUGUGUAGCCACUUCAAUUUUGUUUCUUAUUGGUUUUAAAUGUAUAAAUAUGCUCUACAUGCCUUGGUUAUGGACUAUUGGCUUUUAAGUUAUAGGAUAUGGUUAAAAAGGUAUAAUGUCAGUAACAAAAAGUUGACAUAAAGCUGCUAAUUUGGAUAAAGUCAUUCUAGACAACAUGCAGCCUGAGCCAACCUAGGGAAAUAGGUCUAAAUUGAGAAAAUAUUUUUAUGGAACUCUUAUUCUAGAAACCAGGCUUCUAAAAGAAUUUAGGACAAUGUCUCUUUGUUGAGGUAUUGGAGACUGCACCAUCGUGCAUUCAUAUGUAGGAAUUGGCAGUCAAACUUUGUAGCAUGAAGGAUAGACUCGGUGUUUUGGAGACUGGAUUUUGGAGACUAGAUUGUUAGAGGUUGAGUUUUGCUUUCUAAAGUUGUGGUUUGCCCUGAAGUUAUCUGUAUUUUAAUGCUAAUUCCACUGCCCCAAGGACAGCUGCCUAGUCACGUACUCAGAGCUCUGGUGACUUCCCAAAGUUGUGGUUGUGCUCUGGUGUUUCAAGGAGAAUUUAAGGAUUGUGAUUAAGGAUUGCCAGUGUUACAUUGACUAACUCAAACUUAUUUAUAAUUGAGAAAAAAAAUCAAACAGGUAGAGAUUGUUACAAGAUUUACGAAGGAUUGAUGAGGUUUUAGAACUUGUGAGAGCAUUACAGCCUGUUUGCUUACUUCAACCGCCAUUUCAAGAUAGAUUUAGAGGAUUGCUAACAGCCUUGUAUUAUGUAAUUUUGUCGCUUCUUCAAUGUAAAAAGUUAGAACUUUAAAUCUUUCAGUGUAUAUGGAAAUUUUUACUACAAAUCUUUGCUCUCAAAAUGAGCUUUAAUAUUUGGGGAAUAGCUGUUACACUACUCCAGAAAAGAAUAUUUAAAACUAAUUUUAAGCUUCUAAGGAUAUGUUAAUUGCCAAAGUACCUCACCUUACCAGAGGACUUAACUUUGUUUUCCUCAUUGGAGAUAAAGCUUCAGUUGUGUUAAUACAGAAUUGUAGGCUAGAGUCAUGGAAGUAUUUUAAAAAGAAACCUGGUGAAACAUACCUUAUUCCAAACAUCAAUCAAAUUGGUUAUUACAAAAUACUGAUAUUUGGCCUAUCACUUAUACAAAUUUUUCAGGCAAAAUUGAUAAUUUUACUCUUUGCAUGCUUUUGGAUUUACUGUAAAUUUGUUCAUGCAACCCAUAGAAAAUGCGCUUACUGUAUUUAUAGGUGUCUCAUCUAAUGAAAAGGCUACAUUUAUGAUUGGAUCACUUGUUUAUUCUCUUGAGUUUCCACUGCUUCAGCACAGAUUAUUAGAUUACGUCCUGUAGCCACUGUUUUUAAAUGUUAAAAAAUCAAGCUUUCAAUUCAUAUACAGAUAGCCAAUGUGUGGCUUGUGGUUUACAAUUGAUUUCAAUUACUUAAUACUUUACUAGAGGCAAGUUUUCUACAUGAAAUCAGUGAGUGAUGAUUUCAGUGUAAAUUGUCUGACAACUCACUGUCCUUUCAGUGCUCUGGCUCAGAGAACUAAACAAAACCAUAGACCUAGCUCUUUGAAAAUGGUAAUGGAGUUGAUAACACACCUUCAUGAAAAGAGGAAGACUCCAUUUGCUUACUUUCAAUGCCCAGCCUCACCCUGCCAACUCAGGGAUUUCUAAAUAAGGCUAAAUCUGGACCUUGUUUACAGUAUUUGACAUUUCUAAUUAAUGCUUAUGUUUAGGCAAAUAAAGCUGGUGAGGGGCUGGAGAGAUGGCUUAGUGGUUAAGAGCACUAAGUACUGUUCCUUUAUAGGCCAUUUAAGAACUCAAACUGGAUUGCCUGGACCCCUUAGCAAGGGAGGACAAUGAUACCAGGCAGAUUAUAGGCCUUACAUAGAAACAAUUAGUCAAAAAAUCUCAUUCUUUAUAUCACCAAAACAAUAAUUUGGUAAACAAGUCAAUUUAUAAAUACUCAGUGUCCUCAAUUUAAUCCUCGAGGACUUAUCUUAAUAAAUAAUAUUUUAACAAAAUUUCAAUAAAUAAAAAGGGGGAGUUAUCCCUGUAUGCUAAAUAAUACUCUUUUUAUUUCAAUUUUAAAAGUUGAAUGCCAAGGUUUAUGGCACCCUACAACUAGGCAUACUUCUGCCUAGGUGAAAUAGAAAGAUCCACAUAUUGGCAUGAUCCUGUCCAGGUAUUUUAUAUGGGGAAGAGGGAAUCUUUGUGUUUUUUCUACAGGAUGCUACAGGAGUGUGCCAGCUGCCUGAGUGGCUGGUGAGACAUGCUGAUCCUGGGAGCAUGAAGAUUCAGCUCUCAUGGUUCAGGUUCCUGGAGUCAUUCCUGUGCCCUUAGAGGAAGACGGAGGAUUCCCCCUCAUCUUUUGUCAUCACAGAAAUUCUGGCAUUGCUGCAGUCAUUGUGUCCCAUCCCACUGCGGCCUGCGCUCCAACCCUCUGUGCACUGCUGACUGCUGGAGAAGACUGGACUCCAGCUGUUACCCCUGCCCCCCUCAUUCCCCUGGUGACUCUUGCUGCCUUGACUGGUGUUGUUAUCUUGCAGUCUGUAGCUUCACAGGAAUGCCAUCUGUGUGAAGCUGCUGUGGACUGGGGAACUCUGCCCUGGUUGUGCAGAUCUCAGAAAUGGUUCCAUUGUCUGCUGGUUGUUCCAGAGAAGAAUGACCGAUCCUGAACUGUCCUGGGAAAGACCUUGGCAUUUUCGCUGCUAUUGUAGCAGCCAUUACUGCUGCAGCCAUUGUGUCUGCAGUGUCUGGAGUUACCCUCCCCCAAUCUAUUGUUAGGCAAGCACAGUGGGUGAACUUUCUGGAGUAGUUGCUAACAAUUGGGAAUUCUAAAUUUUAUUAUAGGAGCAGCUUGACUACGGCCCUUGGUGGUAGCAGCUGAGGAGAACCAGAUGAGGUGCCCACUACUUAUCGGGAGAGGCUCAACUUCCACAAUCUCUUAAAUUAAUGCCAUCUGGCCCCUGCUCUUUCGCCCCUGGGGUAAAGUAAGAGGAAUGAGAGGAUGAUCCAAUGUAGCUAUCCUCAGGGAUGGGCAACUUCCUCUGACCCUUGACCAAUCUAAGACAGGAACCUUGGGGGCGACAAGGUGAUCCUAUGACAGAUAAGGCUGGGGUUUGAGAGGUCGAUCCUAAAACAGAGGUGGCUACAUCCCAUUUAAAUGUACGGGCCGGUCAAAUGCUCCUCUGCCCAGUUUCUCCCUCAAUAAACACACACGUAUAGCCCAGAACGGUGUGUUACAGCAUAAGUUCAUUCAUAGCCAUUGGGUUGCAGUCCUAACUGCAAGAGUGGCUCGCCAUGGCCGAGCUGGGCACUCUGUGAGGCAUGUCUGAUCUCUCUCAGACCACUACUUCCACCUAUUGGUCUUUUAUAAAAGAAUAACGGGGGAGAUGCAGUGAGCCAUAUUGGAUUUGGGCCUGGCUGCUUUGUAACUGCAUGGCCACAGUAAAAGUCAUGGGAUUGUUGGACAGAGGCCUCUCCCAUGUGUUUACGACACAGGAAGAAAAGACCAAGUAGUAAACACCCGGUGUCUCCACUGCAUGACCUCUGCUGAGCCCGGCUGAUGCAUGUGGAACCGACACACCUGGACCACACCUGGGUGGUGGUCAAUUUACUUCUGCCUUUUGCUUCCUCAGCCUUUAUCCUUGAGAUUUAGGCUGAUCUUCUUGGAUUUCUCCCUAAUUAAUUCAGGUCUCCUAGUCGGUCUUUUGUUACCGAAGUCACGAGCCAGGUAGUCACGAGCCAGGGUUUCCCACUGUGCUUCCCAGUUAUUUUCUACCUGGAGACUUGGGUAUAUAAGUGGUGAAUAAAGCUACAGGAGAUUCUCACUCUUCUUCCUCACUCUCGCUCUUCCACUCUUCCUCUCUCUCUCUCUCUCUCUCUCUCUCUCUCUCUCUCUCUAUCUCUCUUCCUCUCUCUUCCUCUCCUGGCUUGACAUGAUUAAAAAAAAAAGAAGGAGCCAGGAGAGAGGGUGCUGAACCCUGAGAGUGGGAACUAGUCGUACCUAUUUUUUUUCUUUUUUUACUGCAGCAGUGUAGCCAGACUUCUUCCAAUCCUUCAGAAUGAUUAUCCAAGGCUCUUCUUUCUUAGACCUUUAUUUUAGCUCCCAGGCAAUAGAAUCUCACAUUAGGAGAGAUGUCAUAUGUAUUUUAUGGCUUACUUUCCUAUAAGCUGUCUAACUCAGAGAUCACACUAUAUCCUAUGUCUAAGUCUACAUGUAGUCAGCCCUUAUGCUUUAUAUUGUAGUUGGAACAAUUACUGCCUGAUAACUUUCCAAAUUUUAUUGGGGCAAAAUAUUCUUGCAACCAGUCAAAUGGCCUCAAGCUUCCAAAGUUUGAUCCAGACCUAAUACAUUAGGCUGGAAUGGUUUUACAUUCUUAUCUCUUUCUAGAUUGUUUAUCUUCCAGAAAUGAUGUUUAGGGUCUGUUGUAAUUACUGCAUCUUAAGUGUAAAUCAGUUAUAUUGCUUUGAUUUGUACUCUAAUGCAUAGCAAAUGUGGUAACAAUAACAUCACCACAUACAUUUUGGUAUGUGUUGCCAAAUGACACCACAAAAUUUGUUGUUGUUGUUUAUUUCUUGCCUUAGUGAAGGAUUUGUAGAAAACUUCCUUCAAUUGCUUAAUAAUGUGCUUCUUUAUAAUAGUAUUCCAUUGCAUAUAUGAACCAUAUUUUCUAUAUCUAUUAUUUGGUUCAGGGACAUCAGUGUUUCUUCAAGUUUCUGGCUAUUACAAAUAAAGUUGUUGUGAACAUAGUGAAGCAUGA